rnacentral:rRNA from 1 species
UACGGAGGGGGCUAGCGUUGUUCGGAAUUACUGGGCGUAAAGCGCGCGUAGGCGGACCUGCAAGUCGGGGUGAAAGCCCGAGGCUCAACCUCGGAACUGCCUUCGAUACUGCGGGUCUCGAGUCCGGGAGAGGUGAGUGGAAUUCCUAGUGUAGAGGUGAAAUUCGUAGAUAUUAGGAAGAACACCAGUGGCGAAGGCGGCUCACUGGCCCGGUACUGACAGCUCAGGUGCGACGAGCGUGGGGAGCAAACAGGAUUGA